AAUACGUGUGUGUGAAGCACAUAUUCAGUACUAAAAUGGAAAAAAAGCUGAAAAAUUCGUUUAAUACGUACGCCAUGACCCUAGCGGUUAAGACCGAGCAUCGCCCACUGGAUUUCUCUCAGCCUUCUGCAGGUGAUAUCGGCCUUUAAUUUGUAGUCUGUAGAAUGAUCUACGAAAAGUUCGGUGUGUACCUACUGUUACGAAAUGUCAAAUAAAUAUUGUAUUAGUUGUAAAAUUGACCGCUUGAAUGCGCGGGCAUGCGCUCAGCGCAAAUAUUAUUCCCUACCUUGACCUGUUUGGCCCCUCCCAUGACCUCCCCUGCCCUUUCUGCAUUGUAUAAAAGGCGCCCCCUGCAGUUUUGGCGCCAGUUGCCGUUGGAGAGUUGCCAGUGAUAGAGCGACGACUGGAAUAGCCUAUGUUUUGGUAAUUAGUGCUGUGCCAGUGUUGCGGCAAUACAAAUUUUGUUAUUCGUACUUGUUUUUCGUUGUGCUUCAUUACAUUUGGUGUCAGAAGUGGGAUCUGACGAAGAAAAGCUGUUCACCACGUGCCGUCGAGACGAUUCAACUUUAAUUUCAACAUGGAAAAAAGACUGGUGAGCAAUCACGGAGUAGGAGGGAAAGAGAAAAAGAAGAGGAAGCUAUCAGAAGGACAAAAGAGACGGCGCAAUCGCUAUAAUUACGAAAAAGAAAGAAAAAAACGUGAAGCCGCCGCAACCGCCGCAUUGACCUCUUCAAUUCCAGACGCUCCUGAGAGGGCUGUAGUUUUCACGUCUGCCGAUAUCCCGCUUCGUCCCGUCGCAGCUGUUGGCCCGUCCGUCUCCCUCAACCCACCAGUAUCAGCUAGACCGCAUGCAAUUCCAGACAGCCAGAGAAGAUGUUGCGAAAACUGCCGAUCAAACAAUUUUCCGAGUGAAGAAGAAAGAGCCCGUAGAUUCGUGCAGCGAAGAAAAGAACAGGAAGAGGAAGAAGAAAUAGAGAGAAUGCGAAUGGAGAUUCAGUUUGUUGAUUGAUGUAUCUUCAUAAUUAUACCAGUUUGAAGCAAGUUAAAGAAAAAAGAGUUAAUACAAAGAAAGCCUCGUUGUCAUAAUCGACACGUCUUGUGUCUUAAAUAAACCAGUUACAGUGUAACUUAUCUCGUGGCCUAAUAAACCAGUUAUAAUGUAUAA